rnacentral:rRNA from 1 species
UACGAAGGGGGCUAGCGUUGCUCGGAAUUACUGGGCGUAAAGCGCACGUAGGCGGCUUCUUAAGUCGGUGGUGAAAUCCUGGAGCUCAACUCCAGAACUGCCUUCGAUACUGGGAGCUCGAGUCCGGGAGAGGUGAGUGGGAACUGCGAGUGUAGAGGUGAAAUUCGUAGAUAUUGCAAGAACACCAGUGGCGAAGGCGGCUCACUGGCCCGGUACUGACGCUGAGGUGCGAAAGCGUGGGGAGCAA